rnacentral:lncRNA from 1 species
GGUUGCUCAGCAUUACUUAACACUGGAUCUGUGAACCAUGUAUUGUCAUCUCACCUACUAAUAAAGAAACUAAAGACGUCCACAAACUCAGUAUUUUUAUCACCUCAGUAAAAUCUUUUCUCUGCUCCUCUUGUGUUAGACUGAUACAUCCAAAACUGACCAUCCUAGAAACUACUGCAGACUCCUGAAAAGCUACUGUACAAGAAGAGAACAAACCUGCCCUUGCAGCACACACUCCCAUGACCCAUAACAGCAGGGCUGGUACAUCCUUAAGUGUUGCAUGGGAACCUCCUCCAGCACUUGGCUGUCCUAUAUCUGCUCUUCUCAGUAGCAUCACUCUAGGUGUAGCAGCUCCUGGAUGAGAAACAGAAUGAAUUUUAACUCCUCGUUCCAGGUUUUCUCUCAGCCCUCUCUUUUGCCAGAUGCAUUCAGCUUUUAGGUCUUAGUGCACACAUAUUGCUGAAUACUUGGGUAGUUUCUCUAAGGAAAGCUUAAGAAAGCUCUAGAAAAACUGAAAUAGUCUUAUUCAUUGCAAAGUCCCCAAAGGAUGUCAAAUUUGAACUGAAGUCCUGCCUGGAGAGGAAAUGAAACAGAGGAAGAGGUUGGGGAGUAUCAGAGGUUUUUUAAUUAGUUUGUGGUUGAGGCAGUGGAACUAUUUGCUGUAAUGCCCCGGUGCUCACAUGAACAUUGUUCUCUCCAGGGUCAACUCUGUGAAUUCGCUGAGUGACAAAAGGAAAAGGAGCAGCAUCGACACCUUGGGAAGGGAACAAGCAGAGGGACAGCAGGACUCACUGAACACCAGGCAAAACCCUCCCAGAGCCAAGGGCCUGCAGCAGUCCUGCCUAAGGUUUCUGUGCUGGCCCUGCACUGAAGAGCAUCAUGUACCAAAGGAAAUUUAAUCUACUUUCAUCAAAAAGAGCAUUAAGAGGUCACUUGAUCAAUGGCUAGAAUACUCUGGGUAGGAAUAAGACCCUUAUGGACAAGAAAGCCUAACAUGAUCCAACACCUGGGCACAUCUGAAUGGGAAAUAAGGCAUACACUUUGAGGAUAAUUAACCACCAGAGGAGCGUACCUCGGCAUUUGCUUGAAAUUCCAUCUGUUGAAAUCUUCAGGACCACACAUUUCGCUAAGAAUAUGCCAAGCCAUAUGUGAGGGGCUAGAAAAGCUCGUGGACAGUGCAGGGUGUCAAACUGGCUGAUGACAAUCAUUUUUAGGGUAAGCAGCAAAUGAAAGGCAGCACAUAUUAGGGGAUACAGUAUGGGAGGUGGCAGUUUCCAAAGGACAGCUCAACAUCUGUCACCCUCAGAAGACAAAUUAGGCCCAAGAAUUUGAAAAUCUGUCCGUAUAAGCAUGGAGCACACUGUACCCAACUGCACAUUCACUGAAUGCUGAAGGGUUUGUGCAGUGUUUUAUGGUGCAUUAGGAAGGAACACCUAGAGGUUUUCCUUACUUAGGUUUGCUUUGUCAAAGGAUGUGCUCAAGGGCUGAAGAGAAAACGUACCAGUGGAAUUAAAAAAAAAUUUAAGGAAGAAGAAGGUGUAUUUCAUACUAAAAGCCCUCCAGAUCAGUCACAUUUUAGAAGCCUCUCCCUAUGGGGAGGUCCAGUAUUACUGCCAGCCCCAGCAGACGGCUGUGCAGCUCAGUGCACACAACCGCCAUCCCAUAGCCCAUCAAACGUUCUUCCUCCUCCCUAAGCUUUGUCAUGCAGCGAACAUCAUUAUUCUUUUUCUUCAAGUUUUUUUUGUGAAAAAAAAAAAUCAUUUAAAGCUAUUUGAAAGAUAGGGGGAGGAAUUAGCUGUUUAUUUAUUCUGAAUUCUAUUUCCCUCCCUUUAAAGCUAUUAAUAGAAGGCCAGUUCAGGUGAGCUGUUGGAAUUAUGACUUUCCCCCAUUCCUUCCUUUGCCCUUUGCUGGCUUUUUGGACCCUGGCAAAAAGGAAAAGAAAUCACAACUCUGGCAGCUCAUAGCCUCAAACCUAAAAUAAAAGCAAAAUUAGAAAACA